GAUAAGAAGAACUUUCUUUUAUGCCUUGUCUCCUAAGCUAAAAAUAAAACUUUGUACAAACAAGAGGGAAAGAAAAACACUCUAAGUCUUCUGAGGAAAGACUUAUUGAAAUUUACAAAGAUAUAUAACUUUAAAUCCAGAUCUAGGAACCUCCUGACUUCUGUCUUAGUUGUGGGUCAUCUCCCUGAUACAAAGAAGCAAACUGAAGAUAAUGCAGUUGGAGCAGUGUGGGUUCUUACCAAAACCCCCCUUAUUCAUAUCAAAAGGCUUUCACAUCCUGUAAAAGAUCUGAAUUUUGGGUACAAACGUCCUUCCUGGUGGAACUGGCAGCUGUACCUUUUCUUCUGGAAACAAGCCUUAAACAUGGAUUUCCCAGGCACUCACCCCAGUGAUGGAGCUCUCCAAUAAGCGUGUUUCCAGCACAUGACUUAAUAAUGAACCAGGCUUCUGUGUUUGGAGAUCUUGGUUGACGUUGAUACCCGACGAUGUAAGCCACUUGCUUUUUUUCUCACCAUUCUUUAAAUCUCUGCUCUUUGAACAGUGAGCCUAGAAAACCCUGGGUGCCCCCUGACCCCUGCCCUCAAAAGGAGCACAAGCCCAGGGCCAUGUGCACGCUCUCCUUCUACCUGUGACCUCACUGUGUGGCCCCAGGUGUGUUCUGUAAUUUCCAGCUCUUGUAAGGAAUAAACCUUUAUUUUAUCAAAGUUUCCUGAUGGUUAUUGCUGAGGGGGUCUGGCACUCAUAAGAACCAUAGGGGCUGGUCCAGCCACAACAUUAUUCACUGAUUGGUUGAAACCUGCACAGAAUGAUGCCACAGAGAAUUUAUUAUCGGGAAAAAUGUUUCUACAACUCAGGAAGUGCAUUUGUCAGUUGGCCAAUCCAGAGAAUAGAAGGGUAAUAUCCACAAUUGCUUGCUUAGUUUUCACUAGGAAUUAAGGAUUUUAAGAGUUCAAAAGUCUGAUCAAUACAUGUAAUUAAAACUACUUUCAAAUAAUAAAGGAAAGUAAAUGAUGGCUUGCUCCAGAAUGAGAAAAAGGGGGAAGAACCAGGAAAAAACAUCUGAACAUACAUAAAAAAAGGCUGUAGAAGAUUUAUGGAAAAGGGAUCUUGGGAGAGGAACUUUAUGUGUAGUCAAGCGAGGACGGGAAUGGAUUUAAGAUUUAAAAAAAAUGAGUUUCGGUAUCAGUACACUAGAGCAAAAUUAGAAUUUGAGUUUUCUACUUUAAAAGCUUUCUUAGAUUAUUGACAUUCCUUCAGUAGGAACCCUAUGUUUCUUAAGCAAUCUGCCUGCAUAGCAAAAAUUGUGUGUUUUACCGAGUAAUUUCCUGAGCUUCAGGUUUUCAUCCUUUCUGAUUUCUUAAGGAAACCCAGUCUCUUGUUCUCAGGGGUGCUAAGCAGUUUCACACCUAUGUAGAGUUCAGUACUUGCUUUUAGAAUCCUGUUCCCAUGUCCCCUAAAUCAGUAUUUUAAUCUGUGAUCCUAUUUAAUCAAAUGUUCAAACGUUUUGGUGGUUUCCCAAAAUCAAAUGCUAAAUAGUCUGUGUCAAAUUAACUUUGAGAUUUUCCAGCAAGUCUCUGGAAAAUCUCAAAAUAUUUGUCUUUCACAUUGUAAAAGAGAUGUUAGAUUAACUAGGUUUAUUUGGUUUGCUAAAUGAUGCGGGGCAUCGUCAAGUAAUGAUAAACCUGCAGUUAUAUAUGUGGGUAUGUUACUAAUACAGGUAUUAUAGAAAGCACCUGCAGUUCAUGGAAACUUGUCAAAAAUGUCCACUAAGUACCUUAAAUUGUCACUUAAUUAUUGCCUCGUAAUAACUACACCUGCUUAUCCUGUGAACUCUGAACAAUACUUUAACCAUGGCCAUUCCUAAGUCUUUGUCAUUUACAGUAAUUUUUUUUUCUGAUGCUUUUGGCAAAGUGUGUGUAUAAAACUGUUUCAUCUUCAGGGAGACUCUUAAAACCUGUAGGAUGUUUCAAAAGCAUUGUUUUGUUUUUCCAGAUUAUACAAAUCUAUUUUUUUUCCUAAGCUAUCAACAAUUGGGUAAAAUAGACCUUUGUGAAUGAAGAUGAUUAAUCUUUUCCUUCCUAUCUGAUCCCUCCAGAAUGCAGAAGCUCUUAGCUUUAUUGCCAUAACAAUACUACUUCCAAAAGUUUAAUAAGAACCUGUCUUUUUUGUAACAGGACCCAAGUGGAAGCUUUGGCUAUAUUAGCAAGGUUUUGACCAAGACAUCAUAUUUGAGAAUGGUAUAGACUCAGAGCUGACCCAAGAGCUUUGAGGGACUAAGUUGAGUUAUGGCGUCAGUAACACCCCUUAGAAAAAUCAGUGUUGGUGUAUUGUUACAGGGUUCCCAGCAGCCUGAUAUGGUUGAAUGAGAAAGAUCACUUCUAGGCAGGCCCAGGAGCCUCUGGGUAUUUGGGGCAGUUUGAAGAAAACUCCAAUCUUAGAGCCACUGCAGGUGAGAUCUGAUGGUGCGUCUUGAUUGGCUUCUUAAUCUUGAGAUUGUAAAAGUCGAAUCUGAUAUUCCUUAAAAAUCUGGUAAAGCAGACUUAAGCUAUCUGGCCAAUCACUAUUUGGCAAACAAUAAUUUUUUAUUAUCUUUGACUAGAAAUAAGUAAUUGUAGAGAAACUAUUUACUAAUAACCUUUGUGGGUAAAUAUUCUAAGGCUUCUAAUGUCAGACAUAUUGUUUUCUACCUACAAACUGAAUCCUGAGUUCAAGUUUCUCUGAUAUUUGGAUCUAACUCCAAAAUUUAAUUUUUUCCUAUUCUGUCUUAGAAUCACUAAGAAUAAAAAAUGCCCCUUUUCUGAAUCCAUGCAAGCUAAAGGGGAGAACUUGAUAUGAACUUAAGCAAACCACCUUCCUCAACAGCUCACGUACAGGCCAUCUUCAUGCCUGUUGUGUGCACCUACUCAGAUCACCAGAGCAAUUAAAACUUGGAAAUCUGGAAAAUGUCAGGAUGCCACUUCCUGCCCUAACUCCACAUGCAGAUGCUUCUGCCCAAUAUCUAGGACAUUCUUGUGACUGGCUGCAUUCAGGACUCCAAACCUGGGAUUAUGGUCUGUUGUAAUCAUUAGCCAUUUUUUUUUUGUUUCCGUUGAAAGUGGUUUAUUAGAUAUGGUUGCUUGCACAAUAUAGACCAAACUUGGGAGCCCACCUGUGUCUGCACCUCCAGAAAUGAGACAAAACUAGCUCAGAUGAGUUUUGACCAGAGCCAUGAGGCUGGUUGAGAUGGAACCAUGUGCCAACUAGGACUCUGCUUGGAGAAGUUUCACAGGUGAGAAUGAAGGCGGGGGAGGGGAGAACACAUCACCCCAAGAGGUUCUGUGUUGGCAUGUGGAUUGGUUUUGAGCCAAAUGCAUAGAAGACCCAGCAGACUCAGGUAAAGGUGUUUACUUGUCCCUUAACUGCCUGAAGGAAUUUACAGAGAACCUGUACCAGGGACAAACCUUUCUGCUCUAGUUCUCUACAUGGUGCAAAUGUCUGAAUAUCAAACAUCAGCCUUUCUCCUCUUCCUGAGGCUUCUCACCCUAUUAGGAUCCUGGAGCCCUACUGUGCUUUCCUAAGGAUGGUGGUGUCCAGGGCGCAAUGUCCUGAGCACCUGUGAUUCUAAUUUUAUAGUUUUCCUAUACAUAUAAAGUUUUUCUCCUGCCAAUCUGUCUUACUAAUUAGACCAAAGAACCUAAAAGGGAAGAGGGAAAAAUUGCCCACCCCUUCAGAUUGGGAAAAACUCUAAAAGUCUCUCCACCAAGAACCCCUCUUUCUGGGGACUGCUGCAGGGGAGAUCUUGGGACUCCCGACAGAAGCUGGCAGAAAUGAAGAACUUUCACCGUGUGGGUCUCCUGGAUCUCUGCCGGCAAGGUCUGGUGAAAGUGGGGGUGCUGAGCAUUCCUUUUCCUUUUUCCAAAUUAGGAUUAGUCAGAAGAAUCACUUGGGGAGCCUAGUGCAUCAGGUGGAUGACUCCGGUAAAGACUUAAAGUGAGUCCUGUUGUUUCCUC
rnacentral:lncRNA from 1 species